GGAUAGGUGAUCGAGUGGUUUAAGGUGUCAGUCUUGAAAACUGAAGUAUGAAUAAUACCGUGGGGUUCGAAUCCCACUCUAUCCU
rnacentral:tRNA from 2 species